rnacentral:rRNA from 1 species
AUGACGGAGGCUCUCACUGAUAAAUAUUUGGGCUUACCAGCAAAUGUGGGUGUUGAUAAAACAGACUGCUUUAGUUUUCUGAUUGAACGUAUUGGUAAGAGAAUUAGUGGUUGGAAGGAAAAAUUACUAUCUGCCGGGGGAAAGGAGAUCCUAUUAAAGGCGGUGAUCCAAGCCAUACCUACCUAUGCAAUGUCGGUCUUCAAAAUUCCUAAAAAAAAUUGUAAAGGAAUCAUAGACGCGUUGGCGCAUUUCUGGUGGGGAGACGAGGAGAACCAGAAGAGGAUGCAUUGGAUGGCCUGGUGAAAAAUGUGUGUACCAAAAAACCAUGGAGGAAUGGGAUUCCGUGACAUCCACUGUUUCAACCUGGCUCUGCUUGCAAAACAGGCAUGGCGUCUCCUUGAUAAUCCUGACUCCUUGUGUGCGACUAUUCUAGGGGCCAAGUACUAUCCUAAUGGUGAUUUGCUGAACUCCAAGCCAAAGCAUGGUGCUUCCUUCACAUGGCAAAGUAUUAUGGUUGGCAUCAAUACUCUCAAGCGAGGUUAUAUUUGGCGAGUGGGGGAUGGACAUAACAUUAACAUUUGGGAAGAUGCAUGGAUCCCAAAUUGUGCCACUAGGAAGAUUGUGACCCCUAGGGGGGCAUCUGUUAUCAAAAGUCGUAGAUUUCAUUGA